rnacentral:rRNA from 1 species
UGAGGAACAUGACCUUCGGCGGGGGAUAGCCGGCCCAACGGCCGGGUAAUACCGCGUACGACCACAUGGGGACAUCCCUGAGUGGUGAAAGCAGCAAUGCGCCGAUGGAGUGCCUCGCGGCCUAUCAGCUAGUUGGUGAGGUAACGGCUCACCAAGGCGACGACGGGUAGCUGGUCUGAGAGGAUGGCCAGCCACAUUGGGACUGAGACACGGCCCAGACUCUACGGGAGG